CCCUUAGAUGUUCUGGGCAGCACGCGCGCUACAAUGGUCUUCGCAAACGGAUGCAUUCUCGAAGGAGAAUGCCAAUCUUGGUAUCUAUGCCUUGGUCGGGACAGUUGCUUGCAAUUUUUCGACUCGAACCAGGAAUUCCUUGUAAUCGUGAUUCAUCACAUCACGAUGAAUACGUCCCUGCCCUUUGUACACACCGCCCGUCGCUCCUACCGAUCGAAGAGUUAGGUGAAUUGUUUUGAUCGAUAAGAUUUGACUAUGGUCAACUCUCGUUGUGAAAUUCUGUGAAUCUGACUGUUUAGAGGAAGGAAAAGUCGUAACA
rnacentral:rRNA from 1 species